AGUGAACGCUGGCGGUAGGCCUAACACAUGCAAGUCGAACGGAAGCACAGUAAGAGCUUGCUCUUACGGGUGGCGAGUGGCGGACGGGUGAGGAAUACAUCGGAAUCUACUUUUUCGUGGGGGAUAACGUAGGGAAACUUACGCUAAUACCGCAUACGACCUACGGGUGAAAGCAGGAGAUCUUCAGACCUUGCGCGAUUGAGUGAGCCGAUGUCGGAUUAGCUAGUUGGCGGGGUAAAGGCCCACCAAGGCGACGAUCCGUAGCUGGUCUGAGAGGAUGAUCAGCCACACUGGAACUGAGACACGGUCCAGACUCCUACGGGAGGCAGCAGUGGGGAAUAUUGGACAAUGGGCGCAAGCCUGAUCCAGCCAUACCGCGUGGGUGAAGAAGGCCUUCGGGUUGUAAAGCCCUGUUGUUGGGAAAGAAAAGCAGCAGGUGAAUACCCCGCUGUUCUGACGGUACCCAAAGAAUAAGCACCGGCUAACUUCGUG
rnacentral:rRNA from 1 species